rnacentral:rRNA from 1 species
GCGUGUGUGAAGAAGGCCCGAGGGUUGUAAAGCACUUUCAAUGGGGAGGAAAAAGCUAAGGUUAAUACCCUUAUAAUUGACAUUACCCAUACAAGAAGCACCGGCUAACUCCGUGCCAGCAGCCGCGGUAAUACGGAGGGUGCGAGCGUUAAUCGGAAUUACUGGGCGUAAAGCGUGCGUAGGCGGCGCGUUAAGCCAGGUGUGAAAGCCCCGGGCUCAACCUGGGAACUGCACUUGGGACUGGCGUGCUAGAGUUUGGGAGAGGGGAGCGGAAUUCCGGGUGUAGCGGUGAAAUGCGU